rnacentral:lncRNA from 1 species
GGAAACUUCACCCACAAGUAGUGAAGCAGAUAUGGAGAAUAUUUGGCAGGGCUCAAGUAGACCUAUUUGCAUCUCAAGAGACGUCUCAAUGCCCCCUUUGGUUCUCUCUAGUUCAUCCAGCUCCUCUGGGACUGGACGCUAUGGUACAGACCUGGCCGAGGCUUCGUCUGUACGCAUUUCCCCCUAUUGCUCUGCUCCCGGGAGUUCUGGCGAGAGUGCGCCGGGACGGGGUACGUCUGUUGUUAGUAGCCCCGUUCUGGCCGGGCCGAGUAUGGUUCUCAGAUCUAGUCUCGCUCCUCGACGGCUCUCCGUGGGAGAUACCGAUCAGGACAGACCUCCUCUCGCAGGCGCAGGGUACGAUAAUUCACCCUCGCCCGGAGUUGUGGAAGCUGUGGGUGUGGCCCCUGAGGGGGCACAACUUUUAGCAGCCGGUCUCUCAACCGAGGUUGUUGAGUCCCUUCUCCAAUCCAGAGCUCCCUCAACGAGGAAACUGUACGCCCUGAGGUGGAAACUCUUCACCUCAUGGUGCAGAGACCGCCAGCUAGACCCAGCAAACUGCCCGAUUGGUACAGUUCUGGAGUUUCUACAGGCUAGGCUCUCUGCAGGGUUGACCCACUCCACGCUGAAGGUUUACGUGGCGGCUAUUGCGGCCUACCACGCCCUUCUCGAUGGCCAGUCUUUGGGAAGACACCCCUUAGUUACACGUUUCCUCCGCGGUGCGCUGAGGCUGAAACCUCCAGUACGGUCCCGUAUUCCCCCGUGGGACCUGGUGGUGGUGUUAGAGGCAAUGUGCAGACCCCCAUUUGAACCUAUUCAAGAUAUCUCAGACAGACACCUUACACUUAAAACCUCCUUUCUGUUGGCUAUCACCUCUCUGCGGAGAGUAGGAGACCUUCAGGCCCUCUCUGUGGCCCCUACUUAUCUUGAAUUUGCACCAGGCAUGACUAAAGCGUUCAUAUACCCUCGAGCGGGAUAUGUUCCUAAGGUUCCCUCUGUUACACCACAACCUGUCGUACUGCAGGCCUUCUGUCCUCCUCCCUUUCGGGAGCCCGACCAGGCGAAGCUAAAUUGUAUGUGUCCAGUUAGAGCGCUGGACGCAUACGUCCACAGAGCUGCCCUGUGGAGGAAGACCGAUCAAUUGCUUGUAUGCUACGGUCCCCCCAAGAGGGGUUUUCCUGCUUCUAAGCAGACUAUUAGUCGUUGGAUAGUCGAGGCUAUCAACGCUUCCUAUGAGUCCUCUGGUCGUCCCCCGCUGUCGGGAGCCAAGGCUCACUCUACCCGGGGUAUGGCGGCCUCCAAGGCCUUCUUAGCAGGUGUAUCCAUGCUGGACAUCUGCAACGCUGCGGGAUGGUCCACGCCCUCCACGUUUGUCAGAUUCUAUGGCCUAGACAUGCCAGUCACUCCAGGCGCUUCAGUCCUCCUGACCUAAGCUGUGCUCUUCGGAUACACACUAGGCAGGGGUUUGGUAGUCUGGCGGCGUUGGUACUCGUUCCCCAAAGCGCUUUUGACGCAACUCGAGUUCCUGAAGAGGAACGUCUCUAGGUUACGUAUGUAACCCUAGUUCCUCGAGGGAACGAGACGCUGCGUCUCGGAGCCAUACCCCCCGGCACCCCUGCCGGCGCUUGCUGGUACUCGAAGCUGACGCCAGCUGCGUGGCACGUGCUUUUAUAGCUUCCUGGUCGCUUACGUCACUCCGCCGGUGACGUCACGCUCUUCCAUUGGUCUGAUUUCACACGAUACUCAGAGUCGCGCACGCUGGGCGCGUUCCCCAAAGCGCUUUUGACGCAGCGUCUCGUUCCCUCGAGGAACUAGGGUUACAUACGUAACCUAGAGACG